GGGAGAGUUCUCAAACCUUGAAGAAGUGGUGCAGGAGAGAGCAGUGCAUGAGCAGGGAGCUGCUCCUUCAGGGGAAUGUGCUCAACUGUCGGAAAUGGAAUGAGGUAAGCGACUGCGGCCUCACAGUGCUGAGGGUGGAGGUGUGGAAAUCAGAGAGCCCCCCAUGGGCAAGAACCCCCCUGGCCCAAUCCCCAGGGUCAGACCUUUAUUUGCAGAGUUCGAUGUACAGAGCUGGGGAUCCUAUGGCGUUGGUGGGUGGGGGAAGGGCUGCCAUCAAAGACGCCUUACUGGAAGAGGAGCUAUUUCAAGCCAAGUGUGAGAGCAGGUAAGUCCUGACUGGAAUCGCAGGGAGGGAGGGUUCCCAAGUGGGCAAAGGCCCCAGACUGGCUCCUUGCCCCCUUCUUCACCCUCUCCAAAAUCCCUGCAGGGUCCCCCACUCAGGCCCUGUGGGCAUCCUGUGGUUGCUCUGUCCUAGCAAUUCAAACUGAUGGAGGAGAUCGAGUUGCUCCAGGUGGCUGCAAAUCUGUACACAGUGCAGCGUGACGAGCACUUUGGGGCCUGGUUCCAGGCCGUGGAGCCCUUGAGCGAGGAGGAGACGUGAGGCAGCUACAGCCUGUCCUGCCAACUGGAGCCCCGAUACCACUGGGUCAGAAAGAUUCUACUCUUCUUCAAAGGCAAGAAGAACUGCUCAGGGCAGAACACCAGACCCCCAACCAAGGGCCCAGUGGUGGUGGUUAAGACCCUCCUGAGACCAGCUGAACUACAGCAGGGACACUCAGGGUGCACAGGGCCACCUCCUCAGAUUCUGAUGAGGAUAACUUUGUGAUCUGUUUCCUGGGGUCCCCUGAAGGCCACGACAGAAGGCACCACCCCCUCAUCUCCCUCCCCCCUUUUCCCCAGCACCUAUGUCCCUAUUUGGAAGGGACAUAUUUUUGUUGUCAAUGGUA